UACGUAGGGUGCGAGCGUUGUCCGGAUUUAUUGGGCGUAAAGAGCUCGUAGGCGGUUUGUCGCGUCGGCCGUGAAAUCUCCACGCUUAACGUGGAGCGUGCGGUCGAUACGGGCAGACUUGAGUUCGGUAGGGGAGACUGGAAUUCCUGGUGUAGCGGUGAAAUGCGCAGAUAUCAGGAGGAACACCGGUGGCGAAGGCGGCAUUCUGGACCGAUAUUGACGCUGAGGAGCGAAAGCCAGGGGAGCAAACGGG
rnacentral:rRNA from 1 species